rnacentral:rRNA from 1 species
GACAGAGGUCCCGAGCGUUAGGCGGAAUCACUGGGCUUAAAGCGUGUGUAGGCGGAGUGCUAAGUACCUUGUGAAAUCCCACGGCUCAACCGUGGAACUGCUCGGUAUACUGGUUCUCUUGAGCCACCUAGGGGCAACCGGAACAAACGGUGGAGCGGUGAAAUGCGUAGAUAUCGUUUGGAACGCCAAUGGUGAAAACAGGUUGCUGGGGGUGUGCUGACGCUGAUGCGCGAAAGCCAGGGGAGCAAACGGG